UACGUAGGGUCCGAGCGUUGUCCGGAAUUAUUGGGCGUAAAGGGCUCGUAGGCGGUCUGUUGCGUCGGGAGUGAAAACUUACAGCUUAACUGUGAGCGUGCUUUCGAUACGGGCAGACUUGAGGCAUUCAGGGGAGAACGGAAUUCCUGGUGUAGCGGUGAAAUGCGCAGAUAUCAGGAGGAACACCGGUGGCGAAGGCGGUUCUCUGGGAAUGUCCUGACGCUGAGGAGCGAAGGCCAGGGGAGCAAACGGG
rnacentral:rRNA from 1 species